UCCCUCUCCGCCGAGGCGCGAGAUUGCGGCGCGCAGCGCAGCGCAGCGCAUCGACUGCCGCGGGCUCCGCUGGGCGAUUGCAGCCGAGUCCGUUUCUCGUCUAGCUGCCGCCGCGGCGACCGUUGCCUCGUCUUCCUCCCGGACGCCCGUGGGAUAUUGACCAAUACCCAUGAGCAUCUAUAGGCCAACCAGCGCCGUCCUUCAAAAAUAAUUUUUCUUCACAGAAAGUGUUCGUGUAAUGAAGAAAGGAGGC